CAGCAGCCGCGGUAAUACAGAGGGUGCGAGCGUUAAUCGGAUUUACUGGGCGUAAAGCGUGCGUAGGCGGCUUCUUAAGUCGGAUGUGAAAUCCCUGAGCUUAACUUAGGAAUUGCAUUCGAUACUGGGAAGCUAGAGUAUGGGAGAGGAUGGUAGAAUUCCAGGUGUAGCGGUGAAAUGCGUAGAGAUCUGGAGGAAUACCGAUGGCGAAGGCAGCCAUCUGGCCUAAUACUGACGCUGAGGUACGAAAGCAUGGGGAGCAAACAGGAUUAGAUACCCGCGUAGUCCAUGUCUCUUAUAC
rnacentral:rRNA from 1 species